rnacentral:rRNA from 1 species
GAUGAACGCUAGCGGGAGGCCUAAUACAUGCAAGUCGAACGGUAACAGGUAGCAAUACGCUGACGAGUGGCGCACGGGUGAGUAACACGUACACAACCUGCCUAUGACUGGGGCAUAACUUCGGGAAACUGAAGCUAAUUCCCCAUAACACUGCAGAAAGGCAUCUUUCAGCAGUUAAAGCCCCGGCGGUCAUAGAUGGGUGUGCGUUUGAUUAGCUAGUUGGUAAGGUAACGGCUUACCAAGGCUACGAUCAAUAACUGGUCUGAGAGGAUGAUCAGUCACACUGGAACCGAGACACGGUCUAGACUCCUACGGGAGGCAGCAGUGGGGAAUAUUGGACAAUGGGCGAAAGCCUGAUCCAGCCAUGCCGCGUGUGUGAAGAAGGUCUUCGGAUUGUAAAGCACUUUAAGUUGGGAGGAAGGGCAGUAAGUUAAUACCUUGCUGUUUUGACGUUACCGACAGAAUAAGCACCGGCUAACUUCGUGCCAGCAGCCGCAGUAACAC